rnacentral:rRNA from 1 species
AGUGAACGCUGGCGGUAGGCCUAACACAUGCAAGUCGAACGGCAGCACAGUAAGAGCUUGCUCUUACGGGUGGCGAGUGGCGGACGGGUGAGGAAUACAUCGGAAUCUACUUUUUCGUGGGGGAUAACGUAGGGAAACUUACGCUAAUACCGCAUACGACCUACGGGUGAAAGCAGGGGAUCUUCGGACCUUGCGCGAUUGAAUGAGCCGAUGUCGGGUUAGCUAGUUGGCGGGGUAAAGGCCCACCAAGGCGACGAUCCGUAGCUGGUCUGAGAGGAUGAUCAGCCACCCUGGAACUGAGACACGGUCCAGACUCCUACGGGAGGCAGCAGUGGGGAAUAUUGGACAAUGGGCGCAAGCCUGAUCCAGCCAUACCGCGUGGGUGAAGAAGGCCUUCGGGUUGUAAAGCCCUUUUGUUGGGAAAGAAAAGCAGCAGGUUAAUACCCCGCUGUUCUGACGGUACCCAAAGAAUAAGCACCGGCUAACUUCGUG